AGUCAUAUGCUUGUCUCAAAGAUUAAGCCAUGCAUGUCUCAGUACAAGCCAAAUUAAGGUGAAACCGCGAAAGGCUCAUUAAAUCAGUUAUGGUUCCUUAGAUCGUACACACAUUUACUUGGAUAACUGUGGUAAUUCUAGAGCUAAUACAUGCUAACAGAACUCCGACCGGAGACGGAAGGAGUGCCUUUAUUAGAUCAAAACCAAUCGGUGGCAUGGCCUCGGCUGUGCCAUCGUACAAAAUGGUGAAUCUGAAUAACGUUUGCUGAUCGCACGGUCUCGCACCGGCGACGCAUCUUUCAAAUGUCUGCCUUAUCAACUGUCGAUGGUAGGAUCUGCGCCUACCAUGGUUGUAACGGGUAACGGGGAAUCAGGGUUCGAUUCCGGAGAGGGAGCCUGAGAAACGGCUACCACAUCCAAGGAAGGCAGCAGGCGCGCAAAUUACCCACUCCCGGCACGGGGAGGUAGUGACGAAAAAUAACGAUACGGGACUCAUCCGAGGCCCCGUAAUCGGAAUGAGCAAACUUUAAAUCCUUUCACAAGGAUCAAUCGGAGGGUAAGUCAGGUGCCAGCAGCCGCGGUAAUUCCUGCUCCGAUAGCGUAU
rnacentral:rRNA from 1 species